rnacentral:rRNA from 1 species
AUUGAACGCUGGCGGCAGGCCUAACACAUGCAAGUCGAGCGGAUGAAGGGAGCUUGCUCCUGGAUUCAGCGGCGGACGGGUGAGUAAUGCCUAGGAAUCUGCCUGGUAGUGGGGGAUAACGUCCGGAAACGGGCGCUAAUACCGCAUACGUCCUGAGGGAGAAAGGGGGGGAUCUUCGGACCUCACGCUAUCAGAUGAGCCUAGGUCGGAUUAGCUAGUUGGUGGGGUAAAGGCCUACCAAGGCGACGAUCCGUAACUGGUCUGAGAGGAUGAUCAGUCACACUGGAACUGAGACACGGUCCAGACUCCUACGGGAGGCAGCAGUGGGGAAUAUUGGACAAUGGGCGAAAGCCUGAUCCAGCCAUGCCGCGUGUGUGAAGAAGGUCUUCGGAUUGUAAAGCACUUUAAGUUGGGAGGAAGGGAAGUAAGUUAAUCCCUUGCUGUUUUGACGUUACCAACAGAAUAAGCACCGGCUAACUUCGUG